rnacentral:rRNA from 1 species
UACGUAGGUGGCAAGCGUUAUCCGGAAUUAUUGGGCGUAAAGCGCGCGCAGGCGGUUUCUUAAGUCUGAUGUGAAAGCCCACGGCUCAACCGUGGAGGGUCAUUGGAAACUGAGGAACUUGAGUGCAGAAGAGAAAAGCGGAAUUCCACGUGUAGCGGUGAAAUGCGUAGAGAUGUGGAGGAACACCAGUGGCGAAGGCGGCUUUUUGGUCUGUAACUGACGCUGAGGCGCGAAAGCGUGGGGAGCAAACAGG